UACGGAGGGUGCAAGCGUUAAUCGGAAUACUGGGCGUAAAGCGUGCGCAGGCGGUUUGUUAAGUCUGUUGUGAAAUCCCCGAGCUCAACUUGGGAAUUGCAAUGGAUACUGGCAGGCUGGAGUAUGGUAGAGGAAGGUGGAAUUCCCGGUGUAGCAGUGAAAUGCGUAGAGAUCGGGAGGAACACCAGUGGCGAAGGCGGCCUUCUGGACCAAUACUGACGCUCAUGCACUGAAAGCGUGGGGAGCAAACAGG
rnacentral:rRNA from 1 species